rnacentral:rRNA from 1 species
AUUGAACGCUGGCGGCGUGCCUAAUACAUGCAAGUCGAACGCAGUGGGGACGGGUGAGUAACACGUGGGUAACCUCCCAUCAGAGGGGAUAAAACUUGGACACAGGUGCUAAACCGACACUGAUGGAUGGACCCGCGGUGCAUUAGCUAGUUGGGGAGGUAACGGCUCACCAAGGCAACGAUGCAUAGCCGGCAUGAGAGGGUAGUCUGCCACACUGGGAAGGAGACACGGCCCAGACUCCUACGGGAGGCAGCAGUAGUGAAUCUUGGGCAAGGGACUAAAUUCGGACCGAGCAACGCCGCGUGAGUGAAGAAGGUGUUCGGAUCGUAAAGCUCUGUUGGUAGAGAAGCGGUAUCUAACCAGAAAGCCACGGCUAACUACGUGCCAGCAGCCGCGGUAAUUC